GUGUCAGCAGCCGCGGUAAUACGUAGGGGGCAAGCGUUGUCCGGAAUUAUUGGGCGUAAAGCGCGCGCAGGCGGUUGUUUAAGUUUGGUGUUUAAGCCCGGGGCUCAACCCCGGUUCGCACUGAAAACUGGGCAACUGGAGUGCAGGAGAGGAAAGCGGAAUUCCACGUGUAGCGGUGAAAUGCGUAGAGAUGUGGAGGAACACCAGUGGCGAAGGCGGCUUUCUGGACUGUAACUGACGCUGAGGCGCGAAAGCGUGGGGAGCAAACAGGAUUAGAUACCCUAGUAGUCC
rnacentral:rRNA from 1 species